UUUAGUCAACAUUUCACAGCAGUAGGAGAAAUUCAGGAUGUUCCAUCAUCCGACCGGUCGGUAGCAAUAACGUUAAAACAACGAUUCUGCCACAAGGUUUGACGCUACAGCUACUUUACAUAUACAAUACAGUUCGGGAGCACCGCAAGCAGGAGGCAUCACUAUUGAAUUGACAGUAAUUCAGUUCACUACGGCGUUGUGGCUGUAGCACCGGGUUGCUCUCUGAGACAUACCAACACACCGAUUUCCUUCGAUCGUUUUUGAAGCAUGCACGAUGAAAAUUCAAACGGUCGCAGAUCAAACGCAUUCACCCUAGUAAAUGGACAUACUGAGGGAUGUCAACAACCUGCGGGUAAUGGGGAUCACCACAAUGGCCGAUAUAGCGAUCUUUCGUCCCUCAAAGUUUUCAACAAGCUAAUUUCACGAGAAAAAGUAUUCUUCCUACCGGAAGAAAGAGAACACGGAAACAAUAAUUGUAACACUUAUGUGCCAGUGGCAGCAGUUCCGGUAACACAGAGUUCCACACCAAAAUCGGUUGUUUCCCAUCCAAUCAUGACGGGUGUUCCCAGAGCGCAAAAUUACCUGGAUCAGGGAUAGAUAUCAAUAGAGGAAAAACUCAAUGAAGUUUCACAAAAGAAACCAUUUUUUGUGCCGUCCGGCC